CUCCCUAUCCAACUCCUGGAGCCUCUGAGUUUGGUGGGGGACUCUGGGUUCUCUGUAAUGGGGUAGAACAGCGAGCGCUCUUCCCUCCCUGCUGGAUCCAGUUCCUGACGGGGCCUACAGAGACGCUGACAAU